AAUCAACGCUGGCGGCGUGCCUAACACAUGCAAGUCGCACGAGAAAGGGACUUCGGUCCUGAGUAAAGUGGCGCACGGGUGAGUAACACGUGACUAAUCUACCCUCGAGUGGGGAAUAACCUAGGGAAACCUGGGCUAAUACCGCAUAACACUUACGAGUCAAAGCAGCAAUGCGCUUGGGGAGGAGGUCGCGGCAGAUUAGUUAGUUGGCGGGGUAAUGGCCCACCAAGACGANGAUCUGUAUCCGGCCUGAGAGGGCGCACGGACACACUGGAACUGAAACACGGUCCAGACUCCUACGGGAGGCAGCAGUGGGGAAUUUUGCGCAAUGGGGGAAACCCUGACGCAGCAACGCCGCGUGGAGGAUGAAGUCUCUUGGGACGUAAACUCCUUUCGACAGGGACGAUAAUGACGGUACCUGUAGAAGAAGCCCCCGGCUAACUUCGUGCCAGCCGCCGCCGUAAG
rnacentral:rRNA from 1 species